CUUCUGAAUUAAAGGUAACCGGCUCUGGCAGGGGGAAUGGAAGCAGGCUUGCGUCCAGACCCCUGGUGCCCCCGCUUGAGUCUGUAUUGGCUGGGAGGGGUCGGGACCUCAAGGGAUAGAAGCAGGAACCACAGCAAACCUGGAAGCCAGAGAUACUUAGCUUGAGUCUGGCAAGAGGUUUGGGGGUCAAGGCUCUUAGCCAGUGGGCCCUGGCCUGAGGCUGCCCCAGCAAGCAAGGCAGGUGAAGCGUGCUGAGGGCAUGGCCCUGUGUGAGGUGAGGCACGGUUGCCGAGUGACUGUCCCUGGGCAGCCACCUGCUGUCAGAGGGACUCUGCUUGCUGUGCUCACCCCUUGGUGGCAGGCACCCCGUGCCUGCUCCUUCCUCUGCCACCAUGUCUCGGCAGCUCAGCAUGGACACGGUGCGGCAGAACUUCUGGAAGGAGGAAUACCUGAGGGAGAAGAUGUUGCGCUGCGAGUGGCACCACAAGUAUGGGUCCCUGGUGAAGGCCAAGCAGAAGGCCAAGGCUGCAGCCCACCUGCCGCUCAAGCUGCCAACCCUGCCCCCCAAAGCUCCACUCUCACCCCCGCCCGCCCCCAAAGCAGUUCCUUCCAGGGCCUCCAGCCCCGCCCUGGAGGCUCCUAUUCAGUCAGAAAUGUACCCAGUCCCGCCUGCCACCCGGGCCCUGCUAUACGAAGGCAUCUCCCACGACUUCCAGGGCCGCUACCGCUACCUCAGCACCCGAAAACUGGACAUGCCAGAGAAACGCUACCUCUUCCCCAUCACCACCAACUUCACAUACGGCUGGCAGCUGGGUGAGCCCCAACCUCCCAGAAAUUAUCCACCUCACAGAGAACCUGCCACGAGCCAGGCAGCGCUCUUGGCACUAGACACACGAGACACAUGGACACUCCUUUUGGGGGCAUCCAUUCUAGUGGAGAAACAUAAGAGCAAGAGAGGGCCAAGUUCCAGAAUGAAACGACGUGAUGGGCGAGGAGGCAGGGGCGUGUGGCGCUUUAGGAUGGAUUGUCAGGAAAGGCCUCUCUCAGGACCUAAAGGCCGAGUGAGCUAACUGACGAGGGGGAGGAGUUGGGUUUUAUUCUAAGUUUAAGGGGAAGCCACGGCGAGUUUUAAGCAGGUGAAUGAUACUGAUUUACUUAAAAAAAAAUCACCCUGACUGUUCUGUAGGUUGUGGCCUAUUCGGGGUUAAGAACAAACUCUGGCAGAUGGUUGAGUUAUCCUGGCAAGAAAUGACAGUGGCUUGGACUAGAGUGAUUAGCAGUUGAGCUGAAAUCUAUUCCGGAUGUGAUUUGGAGGAAGACUCAAUGGAACUUAUUGGUGGUUUGAAUGACAGAAGAAGAGAAUGCAAUGGUAACACGCAGGUGUUUGACUGAAGCAGCUACAGCAGGGGAGACUGGGGGGUGGCGGGGGUGGGGGGGUAGGGAGAGUGCGGGGGGUGUGAAGGUCAGCGUUGCUAUGUUGUGCUGGAGGUGUCGGUGAUUUGGCCCUCUGGAGUGAGGUCAGAGCUGAAGGCACAGGUUUGGGGGUUAUCAGAAUAUAGGUGCUCUUUAAAUUAAAGCCUUGAGAGUGGGUGGGCUCACCCAGGUUGCUCCAGAGGCUGGAUCACGCAGGGAGAAGGUGCAGGGUUGGGGGGAACACGGUGAUAUGUAAGGACGUGGUAUUGGCAAGAAGGCUGUCCAUCUGGAUUGACUCAUAGUCGUCAGCUGGGUGGGAGAGGAGCGAAGGCAGUGGUGUAGUUUGAGCUGAAGAGUCAAGGUGUGGGACAGAGAAUAUGCCAGGGAGUGUCCUGGGCUUGCUGCCUGAUGAGAGUUCCUUUGCUGGCUGUGGUCAUGAAUUUCAAGUGAGACUACUCAGUCAGGUGUUUUCUCCAGUUCCUGCACAGAAAAGGCCCCCCAGUGAAGCAAGAACUGGUCUCCUGCAAGAUGUGCCGCAUUGAAUCCUUCUUCCGCAAGAAUGGGGCCUUCUCGCUACUCGAUCCCCGGGAUUUGGCCCUCUGACCUCGAGCAGGGCAGAGGGCUUAGGGGAGGGAAGAAGAAAUAACACACCUCCUGGUGGGGCGAAGCUGCA